CACUUCCGGGGCAGCCGGAACAGGUUCUCUGUCCCGGCAACCCUAGAAAAGGCCGGCAGAGAGCGGUGUUGGAGAGCAGAUGGGAGGACCGGAGGCCCUUUGACGUGAGCCCGGAGGCCCUUUAUACACAAAAGCGUGUGGUCUGUUGACCAGCAGCAUAGCAUCACCUGAGAAGUUAGAAUUGCAGAGUCUCUGGCCUCAACCCAGAUGUCAUGAUUCAGAACCUUCAUUUUAACAAGAUCUCUGGGCGAUGAGUAUGUAUGUCAAGUUUGGAAGGCACAUGGCUGAUUGUGUGGCUUACAGCUUCACAAAGCAAUCCACAUAUGGUCUGAAAACCGCCUGCCUAAGUCAACUGGCCAGUUGGAGCCCAGGAAUCUUGUGCCUCAAAGAAGUCAGCAGACUUCGACUUCUGGCCAUUGGAUGGUGGGCACUGCCGAUUUGUGUCUUGAAUGGAAUAAUGAGGGUAUUAAGAUGCAUUUUCUAUGAGCCACCUCUGAACAUCACCCCUGUGAUAUCCUUUGGUGCCACUUUGCUGAUGGAAGAAGCUCGAGGUGAAUGACUUUUGAACCUUCAUCACUGAGGAUAACAUGAAGCUAGUCACUUGCCAUCUGGCUACACCUGAGCAUGCCAAACCACGUUUCAUGGAAGGAGUUCCAGGAAGAUAUGUUGCAGACCCCAAGAAGGAAUGGCUCCUUAGACAUGGGCAGAGCAAGGAAUGUGGUUGCACCUGGAGAGUGGCAAGUGCCUUCUGAUUAAAAUCUGGCAAUUCUGUGAAGCUGCCAGUUGGAGAGAACAAAACAGCUGAGGAUUCAAGCAUCUGACCAUUCUGGUGCAUCAUUCUCUUCUCAUUGGAACAUCUACAGAGUUUUAUUUCUGACUGUGAUUUCUGGAGACCUGAAGGUGUUGAAGAUGAUUUAGUGAAGAAUAUGGGCCCAGGAAUCAAACACACCCAGGCUGGCCCACUGGCUUUGCCACCACUGAC